rnacentral:rRNA from 1 species
UACGUAUGUCGCGAGCGUUAUCCGGAAUUAUUGGGCAUAAAGGGCAUCUAGGCGGCCUAUCAAGUCAGGGGUGAAAACCUGCGGCUCAACCGCAGGCCUGCCUUUGAAACUGACAGGCUGGAGUACCGGAGAGGUGGACGGAACUGCACGAGUAGAGGUGAAAUUCGUAGAUAUGUGCAGGAAUGCCGAUGAUGAAGAUAGUUCACUGGACGGUAACUGACGCUGAAGUGCGAAAGCCGGGGGAGCGAACAGG